ensembl:miRNA mdo-mir-7287 mdo-mir-7287
UAUAAAGGGCUAGCUCAGGGACCCUGAGUUCCCUCUACCAAGGAUCCCUGUGAUGGCCCUUAGAUUG